rfam:Apaloderma vittatum contig61445, whole genome shotgun sequence.
AGGCCGGUCAGCUCAGUCGGUUGAGCGUGGCGCUAACAACGCUAAGGUCAUGGGUUCAUUUCCCGUUCGGUCCC